GACGAACCGUGCGAACGUUGUUCGGAAUCACUGGGCUUAAAGGGCGCGUAGGCGGGCUCUCAAGUCAGGGGUGAAAGCCCGCGGCUCAACCGCGGAAGCGCCUUUGAUACUGGGGGCCUCGAGGGGGGUAGGGGCGUGCGGAACUGUGGGUGGAGCGGUGAAAUGCGUUGAUAUCGACCGGAACUCCGGUGGCGAAGGCGAGGCGCUGGACC
rnacentral:rRNA from 1 species